rnacentral:rRNA from 1 species
UACGGAGGGUGCAAGCGUUAUCCGGAUUCACUGGGUUUAAAGGGUGUGUAGGUGGCGCCGUAAGUCGGGUGUGAAAUUUCGGAGCUUAACUCCGAAACUGCAUUCGAUACUGCCGUGCUUGAGGACUGGAGAGGAGACUGGAAUUUACGGUGUAGCGGUGAAAUGCGUAGAUAUCAGGAGGAACACCGGUGGCGAAGGCGGGUCUCUGGACAGUUCCUGACGCUGAGGCACGAAGGCCAGGGGAGCAAACGGG